GUAGCCAACCGCGAUCUUCAACAACAAAGAAUUCCUCAUGAUAAAGUGAGUUCUUCAUUUGUACUAUUUUCUUUAAGAUGGCUGGAUCAAUUGGAGCUGCUGGAACCCAGCCUUGAGGAACCUUGCUUGCCACUGCCUGUAGCUUUCUGGCCUCUCAGUCCUUUCUGCAUCCUCACAUGCUAUGCUGUUAAGUGCGUCCCGCCCAAAUAGGACCCUCUCAAUUGUCUUUCUUGCUUCAUUAUCCCGUGGAACAUUUGCAUCAAGCAUGUCAAACAUUGAAGAGUAAUGGAGCAUAACCUCUUUGAAUCGUUGUAUGAAGAAGGGAGAACUGUGUAACCCAUUGACGGUACCAGAAAUAAAAACCUUCGGGUUCAUCCUCCUCAUAGUUUUCAGCACCUCAUCCCUUGCGCUAUUUACGGCAUCGGUUUCAUGACCGAGAUUCUUCAUCCGGAACAUGCAGUUGAUUAUGAGAAAUUCAUCCUCAUCAAUGUUAAGAUCCUCAAUUUCAAUGGUAUCCCAUCUUGAAGCGGCAAUGCCCUGAUACUGAAAAGGUACCUUGAACAUGUUUGCAUAGUCAACCAACCGCUUACCUGUCUCUUCGAUCAUUUCGCAGGGGCGCAAACUUUGCUGGGGAGUGUCUAUACCUGUGAUCCGAAGCUUAGGAGCUCCCUCUCCUUGCUGUGCAAACCUCUGAAUCAUUGAUGGCCACUGAAAGCCGAAGCCUAUGCCGAAAUCGAUGAUGUGCACCCUUGGUUGCCUUUGUGAGACAUAAAAAAUAGUUUGGUUGGCAAAGUAGUAUGAUGCCCUUUUGAAAGGGCAAGCUGCAAGAAAAAGACUGCAAACAUCUAACCAAUCUGCGGUACUUGUUCGCCUUUCCACGAGGUUCCGGUAAACCUGACUCCCGAUCCCAUUCAAGCGUGCCUCAAGGCCAUCUGCCAAGUAAAAUGCCAGUCUCUGAGUACAAUCACCAUCUGCUGAAGAGUGUUGUCUUAUCUUCAAUAGCAGUUCACUGGCCAACAGGUAGCAGUUUUCUGCCACAGCUUGUGCGCAAUGGAUGAGGAGAGUCCUGAGAUCAACCAACUCUUUCCUCGGCUGCUUCCUACUUUUGCUCCGGCCGUUUAGCGAGUUCUUGUUUCCUUCCCCCGCCAUCCUUCCUUGAAGUUUUGUUAUUUGGUCAGAGGGACCAUAGCACAGCAGAACUCGGUCGAAAUUUUCAUUUCGAAUUAUUGCACAAGUGGUGAUAGCAUGAUGUUUAUUGCUCCUUCCUAAGAUAUCCCAGUUCCUUUGGUCUGACACCUCAAAGAUUGUGUUUUCGCUGGUCCUCUCUCCUAGUUUUGCCUUUGUAGUCAGUUGGGAAAUAUGAAGUAUGUCGUUCUUUAAAUAUAUCACCAGCUUAUCAAUAAUUGGAGCCAACAUUAUUUUCUUCUCGACACCUCUCUGACAAUGCAAGGCUGGGAAUUCAGAUCCGGAAGUCCAUCCAACACUUUUGAACGGACGAUUUGGUAGAGAAAGACUCCUAUUGCAGAUAUAUGGACUCAACGGGCUUGUUAAGGGUUGUAACACGAUGUAACUGGAAUAGUCAUUACUGAAGCUAGUGCUCCGGAGCCUCUUGUAACGGCUGGUCCCACUCUUAUCAGAGGUUUCUGGUUUGUUAUUGCUAUGCAAUGGGUGCCAGUUAGUAGUCGACGCGGAUACCUCCCCAAGAAUGUCACGGAAUGGCUUCUCAGCAGCCUGGAGAGCAGCCUCCCCUUGGCAUAUGUCAACCCUCUCAUCGACGUCUUCCAUCAACAUCUGGCUUAUGUAGUGAAGGGCAUCAUUUGAUCUGAUCCAGCGGUGCUCAGGGCUACCCCCUGCAGCAAUCUGAAAUUGGUUUUGUCCAAGGCUGCUGUUGACACUUGCUUGGUUGGCUGGGGAGAGAACUGUGGAGUGUGGACCACUCAGUUCGUGGUUGUACACGGUAAGUUGCUGCUGGGAAGAGGAAUCACCCUCGUAUGGUUGGUCGGUUGCUACGACAGUCUCCAGAUUGUCACAGAGAGGUUCAGUUGCCAUUGUGGAAAGUCUGAUUUCCACCUCAAUAUGAGAUAUAUAUGACGCUUCUUUCUCCCACUGCUAAUGAAUCAGCCUGUUUACUGGACGAAGAAAAAAUGGGAAUGGAAACUAAAUUAUGUGAGACGAAUUUCCAUUGAUCACCUUGCGUGCUACAAUCUAGAAUGCGAACGUAGUUCUGCUUCUUUUUUAUCAGAAAUUCAGCUUAUGAUUGUUUUGGCAUGCAGACAUGAGAACGGCUAUUUUAGCCGGUUAAACAUACAUUAAGCAUCCAUAACAGAAACAGCAUGACUAAAGCGAUUUUGAGUAUACACGCGCCUAAUAUCACUGUUCAUAUUAUUUAUUUGCAGGAGGCUCAUCAUCUGAUCUAAGCAAGUAGCAAAAUAGUAGGGAAGCACACACCUUGGAUAUUAAGCAGCAGCAGCAGCAGCAUCAGAUCCAAUGCUUUGAGAGAGGAGUAGCGAGGAUGUGGACUAUGAAAGAAGAGUAGUGAGGUUGUGGUGUUGAUGUGAGCUAAAUUUGUCGUUCCUCUACCUUAUGGCUUAGUUCCCAAUGUCAUGAGAUUGUGACGUUGAAUGGUUCAGAUUACAAGAAAUUAUUCGGUCGAUUAGUUCUAGGCCCGGCCGCGCACCAGACCUAUAAAAAAGGGUUUAUUAGGAGCGCUGGCCUGGGCUUCAGUCAUUAUUAAGGUCCCUACUUGAACUGUUAAAAAAAGCAGAUGCACUGUUCAAAGAAAUUUGUCCUUCUUUUCUACUUGAUGUAUAUCAUGAAUAGCAUUUAGCUGGUAUUCAAAGAAAAAAGAGGGCACUAUUAAAGAAACUUGUAUUGUUUUUCAUAUGAUAGUUGAUGUAUGUGAUGGCUGAGUUUUUGGAGGGUAGUUUGUUGUACUUUAUCUCAUUAUACCAUCAGACUUUUUUCGUAACUAUUUUCUCUGCAUUUUGAGAUUGGUAUAGUGGUAUAAAGCUUUGAGAUUAGUU
rnacentral:lncRNA from 1 species